CUAAGCUAAGCACAGGUUUUGCAACAACAAAGUGUGCAAGUGUCAUUAUAACGUUAAAUUUCUGUGAAAAUAUGACAAUUAUCAUGGCAUUUUUACGCUUUGACACGCCAGUCGGUGCAAUUAGCUCAACCGGACUUUUGUUAUCUAGAUUUGGUGUUCUAGAUGUAAGAUAUGAGUACGAUAACGUCGAUAACCCAUUUCGCUGACGGUGUGACUGCAGCUUUAGGUAUAGUUUCCGCCAGUUUGAUUAGGCUAUGUUCACAUUUGGGUCAUUUGGUUGGACACAAGCUUUCGGCUGGGUGGCACUAAACGGAUGUUUGAAAUGACACAAAUGUGGACACGGUCUCACGUUACCAGUUUGACAAUAUCUACCUUCUAGUAAUGACAGACUGCCAUAUUGAUUUCUAGUUUAAUAAUUAAGUGUAACUUAGUUAAGUAAUGCCAUAUCACCGGGCAAGCGCCGAAUCCUAUACUCCUAUAGUUAUUAGUUGUUUUAAGGAAUUUUAUGGUCUGUAGAGUAUUUUUUUAUCGUACGAAUGUGUUGAGUCUUCGAAUAUUAUACUAUCUGUAGAAGAUACUGGCUGGUGUAGUUGUGGCAGUUUAAAGUAGGCUGAGGAUAGUGAGGUUAUAUAACUUAUUCUCAAAGCUUUUUCACAUUCUCCGACAUCCGAUUUCGGAUAAUGUGAUCACGCUCUUAUUCCUUGAACCCUUUAAUUAUUAUUUGGUAUGCCUGUAGGCAGAGGGAAUAUAUUUCCCACAAUGAUUUUGAACUUUAUUUCAAAGUCAUAGGGUUCAAUUUAGCGUAAUUUGUGACAUAUUUAUGCCCAUUAAAAGUUAGACACGCUUAUUGCAAGCUUUCUGAAAACUAUGCAAAUUCUAGUUCCGCACGUCUUUUUCCAUUAAAUCCUACUAAUACUAUGUAUACAAAAAACAGAUUAUAAUAAUAUAUAAUAAUAAUAAACCAUUUAUUUCAGGCAAAGCCCAUAAAAGUGUUAGUAAUUAGGUACAUGUACAAAACUUACAAGACUAUUGUUAAUAAUUAUUAAGUAAUACAGAACAGAACUAAGUUACAAACACAGACAUAACCGGAUGAGCACAAAGAUACUUAAAUGUAAGGUUUUCUUUGGUUUGAUUAACACUGUCAAUAAAAUAAUAAAACUACAAUGGUACAAUAAAAUUAUAAAAUUCAAAAUUAACAUUAUCAUUGCAAAAUAGGUACGUCAGACAUAGAUAAAAAUAAAAUUAAUUAAUUGGAUCAUGGAUUAAAACAUUAAAAUAAUAAAAAUAAAAGUAAAAAACGAUAAUAAUAAAACAUGUCAAUGCCAAAUUAAAUUUAAAGUAUACCAAUUAAAAUUUAAAUUUACCAAUUAAUAUUCACAAACGUCGAGUGAAGUCCGAUCCAUCGUUUUUGCAUGGGUGAAUCCCACCUAUCGGCAAACACCUUUAGAAGGCCGCUAGGGCUCCCGCGCAUCCUUUCUAACAAUGAAUGCGCAGCGCCUUCUCAUGAUCGCAUGAAAGCCAUCAAUUAUACAACUAACUAAACAAACUAAAAAAACUAAACUAUACAAGACAUGGUAACUUAGUUCAUGGCGAUAACUGCAGGCUGGGUUUAAUGCCUAGACCCCAUUAAUCUUCGUUGUCAAUUGUUUUAUCAAGUGCAAAACUUGCUUGCCGUAUCCGUGAUAUCUUGCCAUUUUCAACUCACUCAUAGGUCUUUAUUUGCCACAGAUCAUAUCGCAAGAGAAUAAAAAUAUUGCAUCUUAUGCUGUAAAUGUCUAUCUCUUUAUACUGCCAUGAUUGUAUGACCAGACUAUAUCUUGCCUUGCCGUUGAUUGUACUGUUGUUGAGGAGACUGGUGCUAUCUGCUCCCGUGCUCCCGCGUCGCCCCUAUCUUAUUGUUUUCUUAUUUGUUUAUUUUUAAAGAGGUUUAGUGAAAAUAUGAGCGUUCUAAAAAUCAAUUUAUUUCGUUCCUCGGGUAGGAACAAACGUUUGUAAUCGUUGAAUGAAGAGCCGUCUAAGCUAUGUUUGCGCCGACUUGGCAUGCGGAGUGUGGCGUCACUGUCUAUGAAAUAUGACGUUUAGGUACAAUGACGCUGCCAAUUUGGUGCAGACUUAGGUUAAACGAACUUUAGCCAUUCUGUACAUCAUAUUGCGGGCACGUAUUGUUAUUGCCUUAACUCCGUGAAAAAAUAAUUUCUUAAUUCAUAAAAGUUCUGUGAUAGGUAUUAAACGUUUUGGGGCGCCGCGGGCCAACGCUCGGCGAAACUCCAUUUUGCUGUGAUUUGCUUUUAAAGUUCGAAACGACUCUUCUACGUAGAUAGUUGAAAUUGUUAGUAUACUUAAACAUGACGCGGGGUGAAAAUGACUCAGAACGAUAUCGACGAGGUUAUCAAAUUCUGUAAAAUAUAGUCAAUCGAUUCCCAGUACAAGAUUAGGCAAACGAUAAACGUAAUAUACUUAAAUACCAUGUUUUUGGACACCAAACACCGCGUGUAUUUAUGCAUAAAACCCAGUCAUAAAGGCAAGGGCGGAUCCACCUUUAUACUUAGUGAGUGGGAGUCGCAUGGUCCCAUUCAAGUUAUUUUCUCGCAAAAAAACCAUUGGAGUCCCAUGACGCCCCUGGAUCCGCCCUUGCAUAAAGGGGUUACUAAAUCUGUCCUUGUUCAGAAUAUUUUCUGCUCAGAGGGACGGAGAAAGGUAUAUGAAUUAAAUAUAUGUUAUUUCCCUGUCCCUCUUAGCAGCAAGAUAGCAGAAAGUGUCAAGCGAAAGAAUACUAGGGUGCGUUGGGGUAAGAUUGAAAGGGUUUUUCAUGAGGGGUAAGAUAAGAAGGCGCCCGUAAUGCUUCGGCAUACGGAAGAUUUUUUUGUUUUACCCCAGUUACCCCCCAUGAAAAUCUUACCCCAACUCACCUUACCUAAUAACAUCUUCAUAAUGCCAUCGAAUAUGAAUAUUGAUAAUCCAUUCAGCCGAUACGCACAAUCCUUUAAUAGAGUCCAUAAUUUUCUAGUGUAAUUAAUAUUAUCUUUGGAAUCCAAGUACAGAUGAGUAAUCACCCCGCGCGAGUACGCGGCCGUUGGGCCGUGCCCCGAUGCCAAAUAGCUUUAAGAAAAGCCGGUGUUUGCUGCCUUUCCUUACCUGACUUCCUUUCAUACAGAUUUGCAUUAUAUGUCGCGUGAGUAACGUGCCAGUCAGUUGUCUCCUUUCCACAAGUUGUUACAUUAUUGUCAAAGACUUAUGUCCUUCCUGACUGGUCAGUAAGAUAGGCAUUCCAAGAAGGUGUCGGGUACGUGAAGCUAUUUUUUAACCGACUUCAAUUUCAUAGAAGGAGGAGGUUCUGUAUUCGGUUGUGGCUAUUUUUUUUUACAUCUGAUAAAGCUAAGCCGAUGUUUGGCGAUUUGAUUAACUUAGCAUGAAAUUCAACGUUACAUAAUACAGAUAUCUGGUGGUUAUUAAAGGUAGCUGUCAUACGCGUCACGUCCCCGACAAAGUAGACAUUUUUGAAGUGAAACUUCUUAUGCGACUUCCAACUGACAGUUGCGUUAAACGUUUAACGCUACCAUAGAUAAUUUAAUUUUAUACUCUAUGAGUUCACUAAAAAUCAAUUUCUAACCCUUCCUAUUUUCAUUUCCACAUUACGAAGUUUCACUUCUUCCGCGCGGAGGGACUCCACGCAUUGUUUUUUUGUGGAAUGCUCAAUCAACACAAUAAGUACGCCGUAUUUCUUACUACUUUCUUCUUUGUCUAGGUUUUGGUAUUUGGUUUUGGUUUGCCAAUCAUCUAGCAGUACUAUAUACUGGUAUAUAGUUAGUGAGCGCCGAUUCCUUAGAACAGUCAGGAAAGGCCGAAAUUGAUGUCAUAUGCCAAGUUGAUUAGGGAAGGGCAGUGGCGCGGUUAGGUAGCAAGUGUAGCCGACUAUACUAUGACUAUGUUUUAAGGAAAACGAAGCAAUAAAGUGAUAUUUUUGUAAA